GACGAACGCUGGCGGCGUGCUUAACACAUGCAAGUCGAACGGAAAGGCCCUGCUUUUGUGGGGUGCUCGAGUGGCGAACGGAUGAGUAACACGUGAGUAACCUGCCCUUGACUUUGGGAUAACUUCAGGAAACUGGGGCUAAUACCGGAUAGGAGCUCCUGCUGCAUGGUGGGGGUUGGAAAGUUUCGGCGGUUGGGGAUGGACUCGCGGCUUAUCAGCUUGUUGGUGGGGUAGUGGCUUACCAAGGCUUUGACGGGUAGCCGGCCUGAGAGGGUGACCGGCCACAUUGGGACUGAGAUACGGCCCAGACUCCUACGGGAGGCAGCAGUGGGGAAUAUUGCACAAUGGGCGGAAGCCUGAUGCAGCAACGCCGCGUGCGGGAUGACGGCCUUCGGGUUGUAAACCGCUUUCGCCUGUGACGAAGCGUGAGUGACGGUAAUGGGUAAAGAAGCACCGGCUAACUACGC
rnacentral:rRNA from 1 species